rnacentral:rRNA from 1 species
GACGAACCGUCCAAACGUUAUUCGGAAUUAUUGGGCUUAAAGGGUGCGUAGGCUGUGCAGUAAGUUGGGUGUGAAAUCCCUCGCUCAACCGAGGAACUGCGCCGAAUACUGCUGUGCUAGAGGAAGAUAGGGGUAAGCGGAACUGAUGGUGGAGCGGUGAAAUGCGUUGAUAUCAUCAGGAACACCGGUGGCGAAGGCGGCUUACUGGAUCUUUUCUGACGCUGAUGCACGAAAGCUAGGGGAGCGAACGGG